rnacentral:tRNA from 1 species
GGAGAGGUUGCCGAGUGGUUGAAGGCACCGCUCUCGAAAAGCGGCAUCCCCUUACCCGGGAUCGUGGGUUCGAAUCCCACCCUCUCCGCCA